ACGGAAGGCAGCAGUGAGGAAUAUUGGUCAAUGGAGGCAACUCUGAACCAGCCAUCUCGCGUGAAGGAAUACGGCCCUAUGGGUCUUAAACUUCUUUUAUAGGGGGAUAAAGUGAGCCACGUGUGGCUUUUUGUAGGUACCCUAUGAAUAAGCAUCGGCUAACUCCGUGCCAGCAGCCGCGGUAAUACGGAGGAUGCAGGCGUUAUCCGGAUUUAUUAGGUUUAAAGGGUGCGCAGGCGGGUCAUUAAGUCGGCGGUGAAAUACCGUGGCCCAACCACGGGGCUGCCGUCGAUACUGAUGACCUAGAGUGCGUGUGACGUAGGCGGAAUGUGGAGUGUAGCGGUGAAAUGCUUAGAUAUUCCACGGAACACCGAUUGCGAAGGCAGCCUACGAAUGCGUAACUGACGCUCAUGCACGAAAGCGCGGGUAGCGAACAGGAUUAGAUACCCUGGUA
rnacentral:rRNA from 1 species